UAGUGCUAUGUUCACCUAUAAUAUAAAAUAGGUUGUCCUGAGUGAGGCACAAUCCUCACUGUAAGAUAACUGAAAGGAAGGAAAUAAGAUAUUUUUGUUUCUAAAAGAUUACUGCUUCGUACUGGUUGCACGAAAGUCUCUACCCCAGGUGCAGAGCCAGGACAGCUAACUGAAAUUGGCCAAUGCAAUGGUCCGUACCAUAACAUCAUCAUGCUCAACAUAAAAGUGAGAAUUUGGUUGGGAGGGCAGUAUGGCAAUCCAGGUUUUGCAUUCAGUGUUCUGUCCUCACUGCUGUCUCUGCACUUGCUGUGAUUUCUGUGCUCACUGUCAUCACCGUGCUUGCUGAAAUGGCUGCUCGGGAUGGGUUAAUCAUGCAAAAGGUAACAGUCUGCUGAAGAGAGGUCUUGGAAUAGGAGCCCCAGCUACAGUUCCUUUCCACAAAGUUAAUUGUAAAAUGCAUUUAAAACUAUUCUGCCUCCAAGUUUUUCUUCUUGCAGAAAAGACUUACUAUGCUACUAAUUUCACGGGUAUUGCGAAGAAAAGAAGUGUGAAGUAUUAUUCCUGGAAGGAACAGACCCAUAAAAAUCUAUUUAUCAUGAGUGCUCUCUCUUUAUCAGUGCCACUAUCACAACUUCUUUUAAAUAUAUGUAUAGGAAGAGGCAGUUCUAUCUCUUGAGUCAGCUGGGAUUUCCAUGUAACACAAUUAUGGUGUGAAGUAAAGCUGCACCGUAAGUCCAGUCAAGUGGCCCUACCUGUCAGACAAGGAACUAUGAAGUUACUUUUUCACUGAAAUGUUAAUCACAUCAGUUAGUAUCUAGUGUAUGUGCAUUGUAUCAUUCCAAGGACGAUCAUCUUACCAAGUGAGGUGGGGCAAGCUUCACCCUGGUGCAUGGAGACAACAUUUAGUGCAUUGACCUGAUGAAAGGAAGAUGUGUGCAGUUAAAAGUGCAAAUUGUUGAAAGACU